CGGCUAAUUUUUUACACUAGACAAUUAUGUUGGCAACACAGAAACCUACAGCAUCAUAGUCGGCCAAGCGCGAUACAAACUCAAUCUCAAUUAACAUAACAUAACCCAUGACCGUAGAAUCUAACGAGAAUACCACCAGAGAUUGAUACCACCCACUACGCAACACUGAAUUUUGAAGCUCUUGGAAUAAAUUUGCACGGAUUUACUGCUCUUCAUCGUCGUCUGGCAGGGUGUUCGGGAUAAGAUUUUGGUCUACCCGUUUCGACAUAGAAUUUGGAUGACUUUCUAUAAAUAUUAAUUUUUAUUUCAGCCCUUGUGGUAUCAUGUAAGUUGGACACAUUUUCGCGUAUCUUUAUUCCUGUCUGCCACCAUUUUGUCAGUACCGAAACGGUUUGCUAUUUUUACUAUUCAACUUACAAUUAGAAAAUCAUCCCCUGCUGCCACACCAAAAACUAGCGCUUAUAAAAUGCUGUUUUUCAAUUGAUUUUGUUUAAUUCUCUGUGCCCAUCCCGUCGCGCACUCCAGUACUGGAGGCCAGGCAGAUUUUCGAAUGAAUUAUCAGUGAUAUUAAAAGAGUAUGGUAAGACGGAAAUAUUAUUUAUGAAGUGACGUAAGUAAAAUGGUCCCCAGCUCUUAGUCUAAUAUAGCGUCAAACGUUGGUAAGUCCCUGAAAUAUUAACAAUAUGACAAUUCGUUUACAUGUCG
rnacentral:lncRNA from 1 species